rnacentral:rRNA from 1 species
CCUACGGGGGGCAGCAGUGAGGAAUAUUGGUCAAUGGACGAGAGUCUGAACCAGCCAAGUAGCGUGAAGGAUGACUGCCCUAUGGGUUGUAAACUUCUUUUAUAUGGGAAUAAAAUGUUCCACGUGUGGGAUUUUGUAUGUACCAUAUGAAUAAGGAUCGGCUAACUCCGUGCCAGCAGCCGCGGUAAUACGGAGGAUCCGAGCGUUAUCCGGAUUUAUUGGGUUUAAAGGGAGCGUAGGUGGAUUGUUAAGUCAGUUGUGAAAGUUUGCGGCUCAACCGUAAAAUUGCAGUUGAAACUGGCAGUCUUGAGGACAGUAGAGGUGGGCGGAAUUCGUGGGGUAGCGGUGAAAUGCUUAGAUAUCACGAAGAACUCCGAUUGCGAAGGCAGUUCACUGGACUGCAACUGACACUGAGGCUCGAAAGUGUGGGUAUCAAACAGGAUUAGAUACCCUGGUAGUC